AGGAUGAGGAAGAAGAGCGGAGGGAGAGAGGAAGAGAGGAAGAGAGGAAGAGAGGAAGGUCAUGUUUCUGCACCAAUCAUCCUUCAGCCUCACUUUUACAUCCUAGUUUAUUCCCCUUCUCCUUUCCCCUCUCCUCAUCUUCCUCUCCUCCUCCUCCUCUUCCUCCUCGGG